UCAGUCGGCCGGACGGCCGCUCCCGCAACGGUCGAAAGGCCGCGGGGGAGGAAAGUCCGGGCUCCAUCGACAUGCGGUGCCGGAUAACGUCCGGCGGGGGGAACCCCAGGGAAAGUGCCACAGAGAACGAACCGCUCCCCACCCGAAAGGGAGGGGCAGUAAGGGUGAAAAGGUGCGGUAAGAGCGCACCGCGUUUCCGGCAACGGAAGCGGCAUGGCAAACCCCACCGGGAGCAAAACCGAAUAGGGACGGCAACGCGGGCAGUUCGCGAAAGCGAUAACGCCGCAGGGCGAUGUCAGGCCCGUCGUCCGGGUAGGUUGCUCGAGGCGAUGCGCAAGCAUAGUCCCAGAGGAAUGGCCGUCACGUAUCAUUCGCAAGAAUGGUGCCCUACAGAACCCGGCUUACAGGCUGGCUGAUAUC
rnacentral:RNase_P_RNA from 1 species